GUACUUGUCCAAUAAUCAGUUAAAGAACUUAUCCCUGGGAGUUUUCGACAGGACGACAGAGCUCGAUGUACUUGACUUGUCCUAUAACCAAUUGGAACAGCUGCCUCCAAGAGCUUUCCACGAAAAUGAAUACAUUAAAGAACUAUUCCUGAACAACAACAAAUUAAAGAAUUUGUCCUCUGAUCAGCUACCUAAGUAUUUGAAUUCGCAUUGGCCAAGAUUUGAAAACCUAACCCUGGACUUCAACAGACUGGAAACUCUACCUUCUGAUAUAUUCCAGCGUUUCAAGUUCUACGAUCUGUGGCUGGGGAACAACAACAUCAAAACGUUAUCUGAAGACUUGUUUGCUGGGCAGGAUAAUUUAGCAUAUUUG